CACACACCGCACCAUCUUCUUCUUCUGCAGGUACCACUCCUGGCUUCUAUAUUACAGAGGAGAUGUGGCGUGACCACAUGGCUAGAGAGCAAAGGCGUGACGACCUACUCUCUACCCUCCAGCAACAAAUGACGGAUAAUAUGAACUUCAUGCAAGAAUCACAGCGGAGGACAGACAGGUCCUACGACACUGUUCUACAGUCUCUGCAAGUGAUCACAGAUACACAAGCCCG
rnacentral:lncRNA from 1 species